UGGGGAAUAUUGCACAAUGGAGGGAACUCUGAUGCAGCGACGCCGCGGGAACGAAGAAGGCUUUCGAGUCGUAAAGUUCUUUUAUAUGGGAAGAUAAUGACGGUACCAUAAGAAAAAGCCCCGGCUAACUACGUGCCAGCAGCCGCGGUAAUACGUAGGGGGCUAGCGUUGUCCGGAAUCACUGGGCGUAAAGGGUUCGCAGGCGGAAAUGCAAGUCAGGUGUAAAAGGCAGUAGCUUAACUACUGUAAGCAUUUGAAACUGCAUAUCUUGAGAAGAGUAGAGGGAAGUGGAAUUUUUAGUGUAGCGGUGAAAUGCGUAGAUAUUAAAAAGAAUACCGGUGGCGAAGGCGACUUACUGGGCUCAUUCUGACGCUGAGGAACGAAAGCGUGGGUAGCAAACAGG
rnacentral:rRNA from 1 species